rnacentral:rRNA from 1 species
UACGUAGGGUCCGAGCGUUGUCCGGAAUUAUUGGGCGUAAAGAGCUCGUAGGCGGCGCGUCGCGUCUGCCGUGAAAACCUGCAGCUUAACUGUGGGCUUGCGGUCGAUACGGGCAUCACUGGAGUUCAGCAGGGGAGACUGGAAUUCCUGGUGUAGCGGUGAAAUGCGCAGAUAUCAGGAGGAACACCGGUGGCGAAGGCGGGUCUCUGGGCCGAUACUGACGCUGAGGAGCGAAAGCGUGGGGAGCGAACAGG